CAGUGUACAUAAGGCUUUACUAAAGAAAUAUAAUCCGCAUAAUGUUGAGGGAAGACACAAGCAACAAUUUGUUGUUUGGUUUGAAGACAAAGUGAGUCGCCAUAUUUUUUUCAAUUUAUUAUGUUGCACGUUCAAAGCAUCUCAUUAUUUUUUGUUAAAUGGAUGAAUUAUAGUGCAAACAAGAAUAUGACCAAGGAAAAUCAAGUGAGCUA
rnacentral:lncRNA from 1 species